UAUUUAUCUUUUUUGUUAAUUUUUUGAGCUUUUUGGUCAUUGUUUUGUCAAAUUCUCUUUUCCCAGAUUUUUUUUUCUUUUCAUAAGUACCAUUUAUCUGCUACAUUAAGAAGAAACUUAAAUGUCACUUUAAAUUAUUAUGCGUUAUGACUUAUCUUUGCAUCUUCCACUGCCGGUUACAUUUCCUUUCCAAGCUAAGGAAGGUGUCUUUUAAAAGCUCCUCCGUAUUAGAGAAGUCCAGUUGCCUAGAUCUUUUCCAACUACAAAUACUUAAAAUAAGUUAGUGGUAAUUCGAUCAUUAUCUUUUGUGAGGAGUAACUUGCUUCUCCUUUUUCCUCCAGUUUUCUUUUUCUUUUUCCUUUCUCAUUUCUUUCUUGAUUUUCAUGUAGUAAAGUUUCUAUACCUAUGAAAAAAAAUCAAUGAAUGAUCCCUUGCUGUAAAUUCUAGUCAAUUUGUUAUAGUUUGUGGAGAAAAAAAUACACCUCUUUUACUUUUGUUAUUAAAGCAAGUGGAAAAUCUAUAUUUACCAUGCAAUCAUUGACC